CUCCAGACUCCUACGGGAGGCAGCAGUGGGGAAUAUUGCACAAUGGGGGAAACCCUGAUGCAGCGACGCCGCGUGAGUGAAGAAGUAAUUCGUUAUGUAAAGCUCUAUCAGCAGGGAAGAAAAUGACGGUACCUGAGUAAGAAGCCCCGGCUAACUACGUGCCAGCAGCCGCGGUAAUACGUAGGGGGCAAGCGUUAUCCGGAUUUACUGGGUGUAAAGGGAGCGUAGACGGCAAUACAAGUCGGAAGUGAAAUACCCGGGCUCAACCUGGGAACUGCUUUGGAAACUGUAUGGCUGGAGUGCUGGAGAGGUAAGCGGAAUUCCUAGUGUAGCGGUGAAAUGCGUAGAUAUUAGGAGGAACACCGGCGGCGAAGGCGGCCUGCUGGACCGUGACUGACGUUGAGGCUCGAGAGCGUGGGGAGCAAACAGGAUUAGAUACCCUGGUAC
rnacentral:rRNA from 1 species